AUAUUGUCCACAAGCGUAGACCGGGAGUCGCAAGAGCUGUGACCCGAACCUUAAAGGUCACGCCGCUCCCGCGGUGGUUCACCCUCAAGUACGAUUCGCGUCCGGCAGUUCGUACGGUCACUACCCAUGUGAUGGAUGC
rnacentral:ncRNA from 2 species